UUCUUGGCUGAUUUUUUUUUUCUUUUACAGUUUUAAAUGUUUUCCCAUUCCUUCCUUGCCUGCAUUGUUGCCAUUGAGAGGUCUGAGAUUAGUCUGAUGGGGUGUUCUUUGUAAGUAACUUGACGUUUUUAUCCUGCCAUUUUUAUAAUAUCAUUCUUGUCCUUGACUUUUGCCAGUUUGGCCAUGAUGUGACUUGGAGAUGAUCUUCUUAUGUUGAAUAUAUUUGGUGUUCUUUGUAUUUCCUGGAUCUGGAUGUCUGUAUCUCUCUCUAGAUCUGAUAUGUGAUGCUGGGGGAAUGCCUUCUCUAGCUCUCAAGUGUGCCCUUUGCAAAGUGGUACAGAAGAAACUGGAAAGGAGCUGUGUCUUUCAGUUUCUUAGCAUGUGGCUGAGAGAACCUACCCUGAAUCUAAAACUUGUGAACCUGUUUACCCAAGCAAGCAGCUGAGCCCCCACCUCUCAGCUUUCUAAGUAGCAGAGUGAUGUUCUAUGUAGCAGAGGGCACACUGGUUUGCCUGUCACCUUGGAUCCUGUGAGGAAAACUCUGUUAUAAAUUAUGUGAUUAUUAAAUGAGAGU